AAUAUUUGAAGUAAUAGAAAUGUUGAGGGAAGAUGGCGGACGAGGAGAAGCUGCCGCCGGGCUGGGAGAAGCGCAUGAGCCGCAGCUCAGGCCGAGUAUACUACUUCAACCACAUCACUAACGCCAGCCAGUGGGAGCGGCCCAGGGGCAACAGCAGCAGUGGUGGCAAAAACGGGCUGAGGGAGCCCGCUAGGAUCCACUGCUCACACCUGCUGGUGAAGCACAGCCAGUCAAGGCGGCCCUCGUCCUGGCGGCAGGAGAUCACCUGGACCAAGGAGGAGGCCCUGGAGCUGAUCAACGGCUACAUCCAGAAGAUCAAGUCGGGAGAGGAGGACUUUGAGUCUCUGGCCUCACAGUUCAGCGACUGCAGCUCAGCCAAGGCCAGGGGAGACCUGGGUGCCUUCAGCAGAGAUCAGAUGCAGAAGCCAUUUGAAGACGCCUCGUUUGCGCUGCGGACAGGGGAGAUGAGAGGGCCUGUGUUCACGGAUUCCGGCAUCCAUAUCAUCCUCGGCACUGAGUGA